UUAGCUGCAAUUAGUAAAGUAGAAAAAUAAAUUAGCCUUCCCAUUUGCCAACUGCCAACUUCUACUCUUUGUCUUGUCUCAUAGUCUUUCCUUUCUUUGGUCAACCGUCCCAAACACGAGUCCCAUUUUUUGUCUAAUACUUUUCAUCAACCAUUUGGACUAUCCAAAGAAAAAAAGCGAAAAAGCUAGACUAUUCCAUGAAAUAAUGUUGCACUAUUCGACAAUAUAAAGGAGAAGUUAGGCAUCCGACGGUGACAAAGCUAACCAGGAAACCAGACAGCAUAUAAAGAAAUUGAUUGCAUGUAACCCCUUUUUCCUUUUUAUCUCUUUCAUUUCAUUAUUUAAAACCACAGAUCCAUUAUCCCCCAAACCCCCCGGUCUUGGUAAUUCUUUCUGCUUUAAAGAUAAUGUAAUGACAUUUUGACACUACCAAAAUAAUUUAAUGUGUUAUAGAAGAUUAUAGACCUUAUAUGUCAAGUUACUAUUUAUGACAUGAUAGCAUGAAAAAUGUUAUACUAUUGUCUGUAUAUAGAAGUUAAAAAAUUCUUUUUUCCUAUGCUUGUGAAUUGGUUUAGCCCACUAUAACUGAUAAAUAGACAUAAAGCAAUUAAUCUAUUUCUGCUAUGUUUCAUUUUACAUAACAACUUUUUGAUUUAGUUGGUUUAAAAAAGGAAUGAUACCUUAUUAUAUUUAGAAACUAUUUCUAUCUUGAAUUUAUAUUUUAUCCUUAACAAGAUACUCAUAUAUAUAACCAAUCACAUAAAUAUCGAUCAUGAAAAUAAUUAAGAUCAUAAGUUCUAACCGUACUUUUGCUAUAAGGUUUUAGCUUCUUUCUUAACUAGUCUUACACAGUACUAGUUAACAUUUGUCACCCUUUUUUCUUUUGCCAUGGGCAAAUAAAGCUAGCUAUGCCUUUUUAACAAAUCAUAAUUGAUUGCCACAAUUUGAUCUAUUUAGGAAGACUCUAAAAUGAGACUACUUGUUUCUGCAACAGAGAGGGAAUGGUUAUGCUCGCCUUCGUACGUAACAAUCAGCAUGGUUGGUUCAUCCAGAGCUCUCUCUACAUGUUUGCGUGCUGGACAACCUCUCACACUGCUACAUUUAUAGUAUGCCCUGCCAUUAUUUAGCAACACAAAACAAAAGCAAAAAUAGUUUAGUCUCAAAUACGUACAUUAAUAAUGUAUGGUAAGAAUUUUUAUACAAUUAAGUCACUUUAAUUGUAGUUCCGGAUAAUUAUCUAUCAUGAGUGAAUUUUGUAACUUGAAAACGAGACAAGUUACUAGUAUUAUGGAGUAUAUAAUAGGCAA
rnacentral:lncRNA from 1 species